AACCCUCAAUCCCCCUGUUUUGUAAUGAAGCAGGUGCGGGCUUGGAUUCUGGCUGUCUUGCCGGCCCUGUCAUAGGGUCAGCUCAGCUGAAAUGUACGAGCAGCUUGUAUUUCGAUACUAUAGAAGGCUUCACUCGGCGUAAUAAUAUUUAUUCUCGUCAGGUUGAAUGCAGUCUUAUCGUUAGACGGCGCUUAUAAUUGGCUUCACCUUGUGAAACACUUAAAC
rnacentral:misc_RNA from 1 species